ACAGAGGGGACGGGGCGACUAUGGAUUUACCGUUGGUGGCUACUGGUGGAGAAGAAGAGGAGUCAGAGCGUCAGAUUUGCAAGGGUGGGGGCAGAGCAAAUGGGCGGGUAGCAGAUCCGGCGUGGCCGCUGUCGGUGGAGGAGAAGAGGAACCAGGGCGGUGGAUCUGUGAGGGAGGGGUUAGAGCAAAAGUGCCAGCAGUGGAUACGACGAUGGCGGCUGUUAUAGGCAUCAUGGAGGAGAAAAGGCAUUCCGAGCACGGGCCUCCACCCGGUGGAGGAGAAGAGGAGCC
rnacentral:lncRNA from 1 species